rnacentral:rRNA from 1 species
UACGAAGGGUGCAAGCGUUACUCGGAAUUACUGGGCGUAAAGCGUGCGCAGGCGGUUAUGUAAGACAGAUGUGAAAUGCCCGGGCUUAACCUGGGAACUGCAUUUGUGACUGCAUGGCUAGAGUUUGGCAGAGGGGGGUAGAAUUCCACGUGUAGCAGUGAAAUGCGUAGAUAUCUGGAGGAACACCGGUGGCGAAGGCGGCAUCCUGGACCGGUAUUGACGCUGAGGCGCGAAAGCCAGGGGAGCAAACGGG